GUGUCUGNCGGUAGAUCCCCCGUUUUUGUGCGGCCGACUACCGGCGCCGUGUCCCGUCGUUCCUGUGGCUUUGUGUUACCGUUGCCUUUCAAGUGCUUGCGUGCUGGUACCUGAACUAAGGGAAUUGGUGCUACGUACAUGUUGCCUCGCGGUGGACGCCUUCGGGUGUGCUGCUGCGGCCAAAUGGCGSUUGCGGCGUUGCCUCGUUACGCUGCCACGUUUACGUGGUUGUUGUUAUCAAGGCAACCUCGCUCCUGCUGUUGGUCUUGGAUGUUGCCCACGAUGAAGUCUCAUGGCCCUUUUUGGUUGCCUAGACCCGACCCUAAGAAGCUCUCCGAAUUGAGAACAACCGGAACAGGUGUUGCCUCUACGUAUUCCGCAGUUAGUGGUAUGAUACGCAACAUUUUGCGCCGAUCCUCAAAUAAGUAGGACGAGCUUAGCCCGCUCAAUUGUGACAUCCGGCCCGGGGACCGCUUCUGGCUUGACACGCAAGUGGACGGACGGACGACUCCCGACGCUGGACGUCAACAAGGA
rnacentral:misc_RNA from 1 species